UAUAUUCUCCACUCCUAGCUGUCUGCUCGAACGGGAAUUUCAUCAUUGUAUUGUAUGUAUUUGAUUCAUUUGUGUUGUUGACUUCAGGUCAGAGUUAGCAAUACUUUUGAAGAGAAUGAGGGCUAUGCUAAACUGGUCACCCUAUUUUGUUGGGACUCUGAAGUGCCGACUCAAAAAGGAUCUGCAUCAACAAUCACACGAUUAAGGUCUUAUUGAUGGUAAGUAUCAUGAUUAUUCCAUAAUUUUCUGUUUGUUUUAUAAUAAUGAUCAUAGUUCUGGUUUAGCUUACUUUUACAAUCGUUGAUUGGCCAUUUUGAUUUGGGUCCAAACCGUGUUUUCCCAAUAAACUCAUGUGCUUAUCUACACUGUCAUUUCUUGUUAUAUCUGGCUAAUGAUGGGUGUUUUUAUCAAGUACUUGAGUGUUUUGAACUUUACCCGAUAAUUUUGUAUAACAGCCACUAUUUUUGUCCUUUUGUUUUUGACUUGAAUCUUGAAUUCUUUUGAGGUUCAUGUAUCAACUUAUAUUUUUGCAAAGUCACUUGUUUUUACUUAAAAAUAUCAUAUUUUAUUGAUCAUGUAUCUUAACAAUACCAUUCUUAACAUGAUAGAUUAGAUCAAGAAUUCAGCAAAUAGGUCUUCCGAUCCAUUUGAAUCUCGAUUCGAUAACCACGUUAUUGAGAUAUAACAUGGAUCUCAAAGUUUAUGUUUUUUUUCUUCUUAAGAUUUGAUUCCUUUCCAGUCCAGCUGAAUUGAUUUAU
rnacentral:lncRNA from 1 species